GGUUAUGUUUAAAGUUAUUCGUGGGUUAUUAAACUCGCACAAAAACAAAACAGAAAACAACAAAAAACAAUGCAAACAAUGCCAAAUAAACCUGUAAAAAAGUACUUUUAUUAUUCAAAAUGAAAUAUCAUAUAAUUCAGUUGGUAUACGAAUAUUUUUUGAUUUAUUUAUAAUGUUUGGUGUCAAAAAUAUGUGAGAAAUGAGGUAUCUACCUAAUGGUAGGAAGAAAUUAAUUAUGUAAUGGUAGGAAAAAUAAUUUCACUUUAAUUAUGUAUUAGAAAAUCAGUAAUCUUAAAUUAGGAUGCAUCAAUGGAGAAGAAGGCAAUUGUAAUCACAA